rnacentral:ncRNA from 1 species
CGGAUAGAGGUGCGGAAGCGAUCAGUACUCUUUUGGGAGAUAUGCGGGGCAGCAGAAAAAAGAGGAAAGGCGUCGCCGCCGAAGUCUUGCGGCACGCCCGAUGGCUGCGAGGCUGGGACACUGUAGAAGAUGCAGUGUACUGUCACUUUUGUGGAGCGCUAUCGA